GGUCCCGGUGCUGCAAGUUCAGCUUGGUAAACCUGCAACUUUUCUAUGUGCUUUACCAAAGUUUAGGUUUACCCAAAGAGAAAUCUACUGGUACAAACAGAGUCCUGGGGAUAAUUUGAGUCUGAUAGUUAAACUGAUCAUAAAACACCAAAAAUCAACAAUCUCCAAAGUUGGAACACAGUUGUCUGAACUAAGAUGGAAGACUAAUAAUAACAAAGAAAUGUCCAUUCUGACAAUUUUAACGAUAAAACAAGAGGAUUUUGGAAUGUAUCACUGUGCAAUUAAGGCUUCAAAUGGAAAUCCUGAAUGGAGUGCAACAAUUUUGAUAAUAAAAGGACAUAAUGCAGGGACUUUAAACCAUAAUGUUGUUCAAUGGCCAACUGCACCAGAUCCAGUCAAUGCACAAGACUCAAUGAUAAUGCAAUGUUCAGCUCUUUCUGAUGUUGAGAACAAGAUGUGUCCAGAAGAUAUCAGCAUGCUCUGGUUCACUACAAAAUCAGAGAAUUGUCAUCCAGAAAUCAACCAUACUGAUGGGAAUAGAUGUAAUCAAUUUACGAGGUCAGAUUCUCCACUGAAUUGUUUUCAUCACUUUUUUAACAAUGUCAUCUCCUCUGAUGGUGCAAAUGUUUACUGCACUGUUCCAUUAUGUGGAGCGAUACUGUUUGGAAAUGCAACGAAACUAGAAGCUGAGAAAGCAUUUACCAUUGAAAUCCCUGUCCUGUUUAUUGGAGUGACUUCACUAAUCAUUUCUGUGAUUGUAAAUAUUGCAUUCCUCUGUUACCUAGCUCCCAGGGCAGUAGAUAGACUAUUUAAAAGAGGCUCUUUUAAAGCAAGAGAUAAUACCAUCAAGCAAACUGCAGAAAGACAGGUCGAAGAAGAUGAUGCCAACUAUGCAGCAUUACAUUUCUCUGAAAGAAAAGAAAGAAAGAGAGGAAAGAAAAUUGUGGAAAUGAACAUGGAAGAAAGUGUGUAUUCUCAGAUAAAACUCUGAUAAUGAAUACAUAUCCACGAGAAUCUCUGGGCUUGUUUGUGAAUUUUCCUUUCAGACUCAAGAAAAGCAUGCUUCCUCGAAAUUCUAGGGUCAUUCCCACAGUUUUUCUUUUACCCUCAUCAUUGUUCAGCAAAUAUGGUUGUGUAUAGUCUUGUACACCAGAUUAGAUUCAAAUAAUGGAAAUUGCGGUCUGGCAUACAAGAAAAAUCCCGCUUGAAAGCAUUUGUCUAUUGUUUGACGUUCUUGAAGCUGUUGUUUUUGUUAUAGAGGGGGCUGUCCCAGGGUCAUCCUGUUCCAUAUCUCUGGGUUGAAAAAUAGUGAUCUUGCAUGCUGCAUCUGCGUUAUCGCAGACAGCUGAGUCUAGUUAAAUUUUUAUCGACCGUAUUUAAGACGGAAA